rnacentral:lncRNA from 1 species
ACUUUUGGGAUUCUAGGCCUCUUUAACCGUGAGAAUUUUACACUUGAGUGUUGUACACACCCCAAGUAAACCAACUUCCAAAGCCUUUAACUUCAGUUGCCUUUAACUUCAUUAACUCCCCACCUUCCAAGCUUUUCAUUUGCGUUUAAAUUGCUACAUAUCCUUCAGGUUUUUUUGCUUUGCAUAACAAUACACCCCAUUGUGAUUCAAAUCUUCCACAAAGAUGAGAAGGCCUUCUCCACCUAAGCCACGAAGACACUACAAACAAACCUUCCCU